UACUGAUUCCAUCUCUCUCUACCAUUGCCACCGCCACCACCUCCGUUGCGAGAGAGGCACCAACUCCAGCAACCACCACCACCAGCAAAGGCCAAAUGGCUUCUCCUACCUCGUGGCCUCUUUCUCUUAUUCUGCUCUUACCAUUAUUAUUUUUUAUCUUAAAAAAGAAACUUCAGGAUCACAUCAGACAGAGAAAGCACCUACCUCCAGGCCCUCCAAGACUUCCAAUCAUAGGCAACUUGCACCAACUUGGGGUAUUGCCUCAUCAAUCUUU
rnacentral:misc_RNA from 1 species